rnacentral:sRNA from 1 species
UGAAAGUGAGUGAAAGAGAGAGGAAGUGAAAGAGAGAGAGAGAGAAAGUGAGUGAGUGAGAGAGAGAGGACUGAGGGGAUAAUAUUAGU